GAGAACCCCGGUGAACCAAACUGACCUGCCGAGCCACCCCGAGGGACAAGCUUAUCUGGGUGUGGACAGCUUCGGAGAACUGAGCCCCCGUGACCCCUUGUAGAGGUCGCUGCGAAAGGUUCAGCCGAAUUUCAGAUUUAAAAAUAUGAUUCUGCACCGGGGACAUGGGCAGAGGCCGGAGUCUCGCGGGUCUUUGAUUCUCCUGCCGGAAUGGCCGUGGUCAGGGAAGCGGAGAGCCUAACACGUUUCCAAGGCCGAGGCGGUACUGACUCACGAGGGUGAUAGCGAGCUAGAUACUGGUCUAGAAAUUCUGGAAGAAAAUGGUUUGGCAAUUAAAACCACAAGUUUUCUUCCUCGGGUAAGGAAGAAGUAGUGUUAACACUUAAGUUUUAAAAAAUCUUAUGGAAACUACUCUUUUUCUACUAAAGAUAUUUUGAAACUUGAUAGCACCAGUGACGUUUCUCUGUGUUUUUAUCCCGUGCUGUGCAGUAUCCUUAAAUAACAGUUGCAGUAAUUUUUACCAGAGCUAUAAAUACAUGGUUAUGUUAGUAUCCUGACAGUUUCCAAGAAUUUUACAAUAAGAUCCAGAGCAGUAUUGCAAGCGUUGGGAAUAGACGCGGCCUUUUCAUAAGAAUUACAGAUAAACUCUAAGUUGGAGUUUUGUGUAGGUAACAAGCUUCUUGAGUUUGUAGUAAUUGUGCAGUGCGGAGUUCUUCAGAAUUAUAUCCUUCUGUAUUGAGUGCCUGCCCUGUGCCAUGCACUUCUGAUCUCUCACAUUUAGAGCACUGCUUUAUCGGAAUGCAGCGUUUUGGGCAGUUAGAAAAAGGCACCCCUCUCUUCAUAUGGAUGUAGCCCAAUCCCAGGACCCCCCUUGACUCAGACCUUCAGCAGGGUGCCCUGGGACUGUGGUUAGCUGGCACCAUUGUGGAAGAAGAGAAAUGCGACUGGAUGGUAUUCUCUUUCAGUGAAGGAACGGAGGUGCGGAGAAGUCACUUGACAAUAUCACGUCAAACCAAGGCCUCUUUCUACCGUCACAACUGCCAAAGAUUAAUUUUCUUUAACUUUGGACAGCAGCACAUUUCAACAAUUCGGAAAUGGAAACAUUUGUAGAAUUACCUUCUUUAGCUUUCUGGAGUGUUGGUUUUCUCAUAUCUGAAAUGUGGAUGUUGGACUGGAGGUCCCUUCUAGGACCACUAUCAAAACCCUUAAACUAGGCUUGGUUCUUCCUAGUUUUUCAGAAAAAUUGCCUGGUAAUGAAUAAGUCUCUCAAAAGGAAAGAAAGAAUGUGUGCAAGUAUAAGGAGAAUCAGUCAGAUACCCCUCUAGAAGUCCCUAGUGGUUCCUUCCCUGUACAUGGAUCAUCAUGGAACAUGGUUGUAUUAAUGAGGAGCCCCCACACAGACCUCUAAAUUGGAAGAGCCCUGGAGCCAGGUCAUCCACUCCUGCUGCUCCGAGUCUCUCCCACAUGGAACCACUACACAGAAGCUAGCUCUUUGCUUCAGGCCUCCACCUAGACCUAGUCCACCCUGCUGCUGAGACUCCAGGGCCCAGGCCACUGUGCAGACUGGCUUGGUCCUUCAAGGUGCCACAUUGACCCUCCUUCCUAGAUCAGCUGAGAGUGCCCCAUAUGCUGGGUUUCCCAGCUUGCAGCUCUUAGUACUUCUGUCUUUUUGUCUUACACAGAUAUCUUCUAAGGUGCCACAUGUUCCAGGUUUGCUGGAUCUGGACAAAGUGGUAGUUUUAAAAUAUGCUACAAAUUCUUUGAUACCCCUCCUUUCAAGAGAUGAAUUACAUCUCCUCCCCCUGAACCUGGUCAGAUCUUGGUGAUGGAAGCCUAAAUGACUUCCAAGGCUAGGUUUAGAAAGGCUGUGCAGGAUCUGUAGGUUCUCCUGAGACACUUGUCAGGUGCUAUGUAAGAAAUCGGGUGUCUCCAAGUAACCAUGUUGAGAGCCCUUGUGGAGAGACCACAUCGAGAAAGGUCUGAAAAGCCCCAGCUGAGUCCUCCCAACCCAGGCAACCAGAUCCAUGAGUGAAGAAGCCUUAGAGAUGACCCUUGCCCCAGUCCUGUCUGACAGCGACUGCAUGAGAGGAUGGAAGAGCUGUCCAGCUCUGCCCCAUCCACCCCAAGAUACAGGAGCAAACUAAUAAGCCACUGUUAUUUAAAUGACUAUUUUAGAGUUCUUUCUUACAUGGCCAUAGAUAACCACUCUCUUGCAUUCAAUGACAAAAGGAAUUAAAAAUCUGGGCAGCAUGGAACAGGAGGAGUUAUGGUUUAUGGGCACAGAGUUUCAUUUUUGGAAGACAAAAAAUUUCUGGAGAUGGAGAAGGGUACACAGCAAUGCGGAUGUACUUAAUGCCACUGACUAUAUACUUCAAAAUGGUUAAAAUGGUAAAAUUUUUAUGUGUAUUUUACUAAAAUUUUUAAAAAGAAAAAAUAAUUGCACAGUAACCAAUUUUGGCAUAUAUGUAGAUAUAGGCACUUCUAUUAUCAAAACAGCUGGGCUCUAUCCAGGACUAGACCCUGUGAGUUGGAGGUAAUAUUUAUAUAAAAAAUAUACCUCUGCCUUCAGGGUGAU